UAAUAGGAGUAGAGUGUGCUUAGCAAUUUGAGUAGGGUAUGCUCAGUAAUUUGGGCUUGUGCCAAACCCACCUUUCAUGACAAGUGCUUCUAGGUUUAGGGUUUUUUUGACCUACCUUCUAGAAGGAUUCUCACAAAUGACAUCCCUACCCCUCUAACUUAUUCUCCAAGACACUCUUUCCUAUAAGCCUCAUGUAUUUCACACAUUGAAUUUGGAU
rnacentral:lncRNA from 1 species